UACGUAGGGUGCAAGCGUUAAUCGGAAUUACUGGGCGUAAAGCGUGCGCAGGCGGUUAUGCAAGACAGAUGUGAAAUCCCCGGGCUCAACCUGGGAACUGCAUUUGUGACUGCAUGGCUAGAGUACGGUAGAGGGGGAUGGAAUUCCGCGUGUAGCAGUGAAAUGCGUAGAUAUGCGGAGGAACACCGAUGGCGAAGGCAAUCCCCUGGACCUGUACUGACGCUCAUGGCACGAAAGCGUGGGGAGCAAACGAGG
rnacentral:rRNA from 1 species